rnacentral:tRNA from 1 species
GCCGCGGUGGUGUAGCUGGGUAGCACUCCGGGCUGUGGACCCGGCGGUCGUGGGUUCGAGUCCCACCCGCGGCC